UACGUAGGGUGCAAGCGUUGUCCGGAAUUAUUUGGGCGUAAAGAGCUUGUAGGCGGUCUGUCGCGUCUGCUGUGAAAACUCAGGGCUUAACCCUGAGCUUGCAGUGGGUACGGGCAGACUAGAGUGCGGUAGGGGAGACUGGAAUUCCUGGUGUAGCGGUGAAAUGCGCAGAUAUCAGGAGGAACACCGGUGGCGAAGGCGGGUCUCUGGGCCGUAACUGACGCUGGAGGAGCGAAAAGCAUUGGGGAGCGAACAGG
rnacentral:rRNA from 1 species